CCGUUUACAGCCGCUAAGAGGCAGUGAGCAGUUUAGACACUUUCAACACCGAAUCAUACACAGCAUUGCAUAACCCCAACUCAAAGCUUUUAGUAGAAAUAACUAACCAGUUUGAAUAUUUCAAACUCAAUUACCGUGGGAUUUAAUGUGCAUUACUGUGGACGUCUGUGUGAUCCCGACGCUUAUUAUCGGGUAAAUGCGUCUCAUUAAUAGAUUAACACAAUCUGACAUCAGAAGUGAGAAAGAUGCGAAAGGAUGUGAGGAUACUGCUGGUUGGAGAACCCAAAGUGGGGAAGACAUCCCUGAUCAUGUCACUGGUCAGUGAGGAGUUCCCGAAUGUGGUUCCUUACAGAGCAGAGGAGAUCACCAUACCAGCAGAUGUCACGCCAGAGAGAGUACCCACACACAUAGUAGACUACUCAGAGGCUGAACAGACAGAUGAGCAACUCUAUCAAGAAAUAUCAAAGGCCAGUGUUAUAUGUAUAGUCUACUCUGUGAACGACAAGAAGUCUACUGAGAAGGUGACAAGUCAUUGGAUUCCUCUGAUAAAUGAGAGAAUAGACAAAGACAGCAGGGUCCCUCUGAUCCUUGUGGGGAAUAAAUCUGAUCUGGUUGAGCACAGCAGUAUGGAGACGCUCCUUCCCAUCAUGAACAAAUACACAGAGAUAGAGACCUGUGUGGAGUGUUCAGCCAAGAAUCUGAAGAAUAUCUCAGAGUUGUUUUAUUAUGCACAGAAGGCUGUCCUUCACCCUACAGGGCCACUCUACUGUCCUGAACAGAAAGAGAUGAGACCUGCCUGUGUUCAGGCAUUGACACGGAUCUUUAAGGUGUCAGAUUUGGAUAACGAUGGCAUUCUGAAUGAUUAUGAGCUUACCUUUUUCCAGAGAACCUGUUUUAACACCCCACUAGCUCCUCAGGCCCUGGAGGAUGUAAAAAAUGUUGUUAGAAAAAACCUAACGGAUGGAUUGCGUGACAAUGGACUCACUCUGAAAGGUUUCCUCUUCUUGCAUACUCUGUUCAUCCAAAGAGGGAGGCACGAGACAACCUGGGCCGUCUUGCGGAGGUUUGGAUAUGAUGAUGAUCUAGAGCUGCAUCAGGACUUACUGUUUUCCCAGUUAAAAAUACCCCCAGACUGCACCACUGAGCUCAAUCACAAUGCUUACCUGUUCCUACAGAGUGUCUUUGACAAACAUGAUAAGGACAGAGACUGUGCUUUGUCCCCAGAGGAGCUAAUGGAUCUGUUUAAUGUUUUCCCUUACAUCCCCUGGGGACUGGAUGUGAACAACACGGUCUGCACAAAUGACCAGGGCUGGAUCACCUACCAGGGCUAUCUCUCACAGUGGACGUUAACUACUUACCUGGAUGUGCAGCGCUGUCUGGAAUAUCUUGGUUACCUUGGUUACUCUAUUAUUGCUGAGCAAGAAUCUGAGACAUCUGCCAUAACAGUGACCCGCGAUAAGAAGAUUGAUCUUCAGAAGAAACAGACGCAGCGGAAUGUGUUUCGCUGUAAUGUGUUUGGAGGAAUUGGAAGUGGCAAAAGUGGCUUUCUGCAGGCUUUCCUUGGCAGAAACCUCAUGCACCAAAGGGCAAUAAGAGAAGAACAUAAAUCUUAUUAUGCAAUCAGCACUGCACAUGUGUACGGACAGGAGAAGUACUUACUGCUCCAUGAAGUCUUUCCAGAUUUUGACUUCCUGUCUGAAACAGAUCUUGCUUGUGACAUUGUGUGUCUGAUCUAUGAUGUCAGCAACCCGUGCUCUUUUGAGUCCUGUGCACGAAUCUUCAAGCAAUACUUCAUGGACAGUAAGACUCCAUGUAUGUUGAUUUCUGCAAAGUCAGACCUGCCAGAAACAAAGCAGCAAUACUGUAUGACACCACUGGAAUUCUGCCGCAAACACAAGAUGCCUCCGCCUCAGUCCUUUAGCUGUAACACAGCUGCAGCUCCCAGCAAAGACAUCUUCAUCAAACUCACCACCAUGGCUAUGUACCCGGUUUAAUAUGACGUCGGCCUACCCUUUGCAGCUAUAACAGCUUCAACUCUUCUGGGAAGGCUUUCCACAAGGUUUAGGAGUGUGUUUAUGGGAAUUUUUGACCAUUCUUCCAGAAGCGCAUUUGUGAGGUCAGACACUGAUGUUGGACGAGAAGGCCUGGCUCGCAGUCUUCGCUCUAAUUCAUCCCAAAGGUGCUCUAUCGGGUUGAGGUCAAGACUCUGUGCAGGCCAGUCAAGUUCUUCCACACCAAACUCGCUCAUCCAUGUCUUAAUGGACCUUGCUUUGUGCACUGGUGCGCAGUCAUGUUGGAACAGGAAGGGGCCAUCCCCAAACUGUUCCCACAAAGUUGGGAGCAUGGAAUUUUUCAAAAUCUCUUGGUAUGCUGAAGCAUUCAGAGUUCUUUUCACUGGAACUAAGGGGCCAAGCCCAGCUCCUGAAAAACAACCCCACACCAUAAUCCCCCCUCCACCAAACUUCACAGUUGGCACAAUGCAGUCAGACAAGUACCGUUCUCCUGGCAACCGCCAAACCCAGACUCGUCCAUCAGAUUGCCGGAUGGAGAAGCGUGAUUCGUCACUCCAGAGAACGCGUCUCCACUGCUCUAGAGUCCAGUGGCGGCGUGCUUUACGCCACUGCAUCCGACACUUUGCAUUGCACUUGGUGAUGUAUGGCUUGGAUGCAGCUGCUCGGCCAUGGAAACCCAUUCCAUGAAGCUCUCUGCGCACUGUUCUUGAGCUAAUCUGAAGGCCACAUGAACUUUGGAGGUCUGUAGCGAUUGACUCUGCAGAAAGUUGGCGACCUCUGCGCACUAUGCGCCUCAGUAUCCGCUGACCCCGCUCUGUCAUUUUACGUGGCCUACCACUUCGUGGCUGAGUUGCUGUCAUUCCCAAUCGCUUCCACUUUGUUAUAAUACCACUGACAGUUGACUGUGGAAUAUUUAGUAGCGAGGAAAUUUCACGACUGGACUUGUUGCACAGGUGGCAUCCUAUCACAGUACCACGCUGGAAUUCACUGAGCUCCUGAGAGCGGCCCAUUCUUUCACAAAUGUUUGUAGAAGCAGUCUGCAUGCCUAGGUGCUUCAUUUUACACACCUGUGGCCAUGGAAGUGAUUGGAACACCUGAAUUCAAUUAUUUGGAUGGCCAUGCGCGUCUGCGCUGCAUGUGUACCUGUAACAGGUGUACGUUCUGCCUCUGUCAGAACUUCCUCAACUCUGAGCUUGUGCAGACGGUUCGGACCAAACUC